rnacentral:rRNA from 1 species
AACGAACGCUGGCGGCAGGCUUAACACAUGCAAGUCGAACGCCCCGCAAGGGGAGUGGCAGACGGGUGAGUAACACGUGGGGAUCUGCCCAAUGGUACGGAAUAAUUCCGGGAAACUGGGACUAAUACCGUAUGUGCCCGCAAGGGGAAAGAUUUAUCGCCAUUGGAUGAACCCGCGUCGGAUUAGCUAGUUGGUGAGGUAAAGGCUCACCAAGGCGACGAUCCGUAGCUGGUCUGAGAGGAUGAUCAGCCACACUGGGACUGAGACACGGCCCAGACUCCUACGGGAGGCAGCAGUGGGGAAUAUUGGACAAUGGGCGCAAGCCUGAUCCAGCCAUGCCGCGUGAGUGAUGAAGGCCUUAGGGUUGUAAAGCUCUUUCGCCGACGAAGUUAAUGACGGUAGUCGGAGAAGAAGCCCCGGCUAACUUCGUGCCAGCCGCCGCCGUAAUAC